rnacentral:rRNA from 1 species
ACGAACGCUGGCGGCAGGCCUAACACAUGCAAGUCGAGCGCGCCCUUCGGGGUGAGCGGCGGACGGGUGAUUAACGCGUGGGAACGUGCCCUUUUCUACGGAAUAGCCUCGGGAAACUGGGUGUAAUACCGUAUACGCCCUUUGGGGGGAAGAUUUAUCGGAAAAGGAUCGUCCCGCGUUGGAUUAGGUAGUUGGUGGGGUAAUGGCCUACCAAGCCGACGAUCCAUAUCUGGUGUGAGAGGAUGAUCAGCCACACUGGGACUGAGACACGGCCCAGACUCCUACGGGAGGCAGCAGUGGGGAAUCUUAGACCAUGGGGGCAACCAUGAUCUAGCCAUGCCGCGUGAGUGAUGAAGGCCUUAGGGUUGUAAAGCUCUUUUAGCUGGGAAGAUAAUGACGGUACCAGCAGAAGAAGCCCCGGCUAACUCCGUG